UACGAAGGGGGCUAGCGUUGCUCGGAAUCACUGGGCGUAAAGCGCACGUAGGCGGGUCGUUAAGUCGGGGGUGAAAGCCCAGAGCUCAACUCUGGAACUGCCUUCGAAACUAGAGGACUUGGGUACGGGAGAGGUGAGUGGAAUUCCGAGUGUAGAGGUGAAAUUCGUAGAUAUUCGGAAGAACACCAGUGGCGAAGGCGGCUCACUGGCCCGUUACCGACGCUCAGGCGCGACAGCGUGGGGAGCAAACAGG
rnacentral:rRNA from 1 species